UAAGGAAUAUUGGUCAAUGGACGCAAGUCUGAACCAGCCAUGCCGCGUGAAGGAUGAGGGUCCUCUGGAUUGUAAACUUCUUUUAUCUGGGACGAAAACGGGAUUUUUAUCUCAAUUGACGGUACCAGAGGAAUAAGCACCGGCUAACUCCGUGCCAGCAGCCACGGUAAUACGGAGGGUGCGAGCGUUAUCCGGAUUUACUGGGUUCAAAGGGUGCGUAGGUGGGCUUAUAAGUCAGUGGUGAAAUCUCCGAGCUUAACUUGGAAACUGCCGUUGAUACUAUAGGUCUUGAAUUAUCUGGAGGUAAGCGGAAUAUGGCAUGUAGCGGUGAAAUGCUUAGAUAUGACAUAGAACACCAAUUGCGAAGGCAGCUUACUACAUAUAAAUUGACGCUGAGGCACGAAAGCGUGGGGAUCAAACA
rnacentral:rRNA from 1 species